rnacentral:rRNA from 1 species
UACGUAGGUGGCAAGCGUUGUCCGGAGUUAUUGGGCGUAAAGCGCGCGCAGGCGGUGCGGUAAGUCUCUGGUGAAAGCGCUCGGCUUAACUGGGCGAGGGCCGGGGAGACUGCCAGGCUGGAGGGGAGCAGAGGCGAGUGGAAUUCCGGGUGUAGUGGUGAAAUGCGUAGAGAUCCGGAGGAACACCAGUGGCGAAGGCGGCUCUCUGGGACGGUACUGACGCUGAGACGCGAAAGCGUGGGGAGCGAACAGG